UAAACGACUCUCGGCAACGAAUACCUCAUCUCUCGCAUCGAUGAAGAACGUAGCGAAAUGUGAUACUUGGUGUGAAUUGCAGAAUCCCGUGAACCAUCGAGUCUCUGAACGCAAGUUGCACCCGAAGCCAUUAGGUUGAGGGCACGUCUACCUGGGCGUCUCAC
rnacentral:rRNA from 1 species